GACGAACGCUGGCGGCGUGCUUAACACAUGCAAGUCGAACGGAGUGGCGAACGGGUGAGUAACACGUGGGUGACCUGCCCUGCACUUCGGGAUAAGCCUGGGAAACUGGGUCCAAUAACGGGUAGUGUGGGUGGGGCCCGCGGCCUAUCAGCUUGUUGGUUGGGUAAUGGCCUACCAAGGCGGCGACGGGUAGCCGGCCUGAGCGGGUGGACGGCCACAUUGGGACGGAGACACGGGCCAGGCUCCUUCGGGGGGCAGCCGUGGGGAUUAUUGCCCAAUUGGGGGAAGGCUGAUGCCGCGCCGCCGCGUGGGGGAUGACGGCUUAUGUGUUGUAAACGGCUUUCACCAUCGACGCGGUAGAUGGAGAAGAAGCACCGGCUAACUACGUGCCAGCAGCCGCGGUAAUAC
rnacentral:rRNA from 1 species